rnacentral:rRNA from 1 species
UGCCAGCAGCCGCGGUAAUACGGAGGGGGCAAGCGUUGCUCGGACAUUACUGAGCGUAAAGCGAGCGUAGGCGGUUAGUCAAGUUGGUGGUGAAAGCCCAGAGCCCAACUCUGGAACUGCCAUCAAAACUGACUUACUUGAGAUUGGUAGAGGAAAAUGGAAUUCCUAGUGUAGAGGUGAAAUUCGUAGAUAUUGGGAAGAACAUCGGUGGCGAAGGCGAUUUUCUGGGCCAAAUCUGACGCUGAGGUUCGAAAGCGUGGGUAGCAAACAGGAGUAGAUA